rnacentral:rRNA from 1 species
CGCCUGGGGAGUACGGUCGCAAGAUUAAAACUCAAAUGAAUUGACGGGGGCCCGCACAAGCGGUGGAGCAUGUGGUCUAUUCGAUGCAACGCGAAGAACCUUACCUACUCUUGACAUCCAGAGAACCUUUUAGAGAUAGAAGGGUGCCUUCGGGAACUCUGAGACAGGUGCUGCAUGGCUGUCGUCAGCUCGUGUUGUGAAAUGUUGGGUUAAGUCCCGCAACGAGCGCAACCCUUAUCCUUGUUUGCCAGCACUUCGGGUGGGAACUCCAGGGAGACUGCCGGUGAUAAACCGGAGGAAGGUGGGGACGACGUCAAGUCAUCAUGGCCCUUACGAGUAGGGCUACACACGUGCUACAAUGGCAUAUACAGAGGGCUGCCAACUCGCGAGAGUGAGCGAAUCCCAUAAAGUAUGUCGUAGUCCGGAUUGGAGUCUGCAACUCGACUCCAUGAAGUCGGAAUCGCUAGUAAUCGUGGAUCAGAAUGCCACGGUGAAUACGUUCCCGGGCCUUGAACACACCGCCCGUC